GCGUCGCCAUUUCGCUGCUUUGAUUCUCUCGACUCGGUACUUAACCAAGGACGCUUCCAGCGCAAACCAUUCCCCUCUAUCGAUUCCUUCGCUUUCCCCUCCGUCCUACAUCCAUUUAACUAGCCCCACUGUCUUCUUCGCUCUGCCUCAUCCUCGUGGUCAAGCUUCUCACCAACAUCAGCUACCUGGCCAACCUGGGAGAGAUCGAUAUCUCGAGCACAGCAUCAGGACUCAGGAGGGGAUACACUUUCAGUUUCAGGCCACCGCACAGAUAUCCGCAGCGCAUCGCAAAAUCAGACGACAAGAUGCAGAUGGUACUGGUGAUAUCGCUGCCCCUCGUGGCGCUGGUCAUCAUCAUCGCCGUCAUCCUCUGCAUCAUCUGCCGUUAGGUUAACCAUCUCGCCGUUCGCCGGCAAGACGAACGGACGGAUUGCGCGCCGUAUCAUGUAGUCUCGUAGCCUUGUUUGCUGUGUCGUACUGCCGUUGUGCAUUGGUCAAGAUGUGAUUUUAUACCUUUUUCUUUCUCUCUUCUAGCUUGAUUAUCGACGUGAAAUGUAUUGCCGAUUGAUCCAUGUGUGCGUGUGGAGUGCGGUAGCGCGUACUACCGUUGUUUAAUGUAAAGCUAUCUACGGAUUUAUCCGA